UAGGAGUGCUUCCUGUGGCAGGCAGAUUGAUGGCCCCCCAAAGAUGCUGGCAUCCUGGUCCCUGGGACCUAGAAAUACGUUAGAUUAUGGCAAAGGGAAGUUCAAGCUGCAGAUGGGAUUAAGGUUGUUAAUCAGCGGACCUGAAAAUAGGACAAGUGUCCCGAAUAAUCCAGGUGGACCCAGUGUAAUCAAAGGGUCUUUAAAAGUGGGAGAGGGACGCAGAAGAGAGAGAGGGGGCUGCUGAAGAGAUACAUAGGGGUGCCAUGUGGCGGGCUUUGAGGCUAGAGGAAGGGGCCAUGAACCAAGGGAUGUGAGCAGCCCCCAGGAGCUGGGCAGGGCGCAGAAACGGCUUCUCCACUCGAGCCCCAGAAAGGAAUGUAGCCCUGCUUGCCCCUUUGAUUUCAGCCCAGUGAGCCCGGCGUCAGCCUUGGAACCUUCAAAACCGUAAGCCAAAACAUCACGGGGGAGAACUCCAGGCUCCAGAAAGCCGUGCCUAUGAAUACGAACACAGCCUGCCCUACUGAUAACAGAUGUGGUUAUAAUGGGAGCUGAGUGAACAGAAACACAUUUCCCCACCUCCAAACCUCAAGCACAUUUUUCAUCAUCUGCAACAGACUGAAACGCUGGCUCAGAGCAGCUGCUUUUCUUUGCUCAUUUGUGGACAUUACUUCAAGCCCUUGUUGGGAAAGGAGAAUGUGAGGUCUCCACUGGCAAGGAUCCGAGAGAUGGCGGGACUGAAGAAUAUAUCCCUCUCCCUUACUUAUAGGAACUGCUUUGGGGCUGGUGCUACAAAGGCCUUUUGGUCUACCCGAAGCAUCCCUGAGAUAACACUAAGUCCACAUUUCUCAGAGAAAGGUUCCAGAAAGCUGAGUAUUGCUGAGCUGAGCCUUAACAGUCUUAUGACUGAUGCCUUGGCCAAAACCACCUCCAUAAUACUCAGCCACGAACUUCAUCUUGUGUUAGUGCAAAACCACAGACCAUCUGGAAACAGCCUUGAGGAACUCAUGCAAUAAGAGACCGAACCCCAAAACUUUAUGCUCCCAGAGACAAGCCACCCACAAUUGAUCACUUUGUCAACUUUGACAGCUUUUCUGGAAAAGACAUUGAGAAAUGACUGCAUGAGGAGUGCGUACUAAGUCAGCAGAAGAGGCCUGAUCUGAGCCUCUGGCUUCCAAUCUUGCACUUAAUAAACUAGUCCAGCCACC